AACGAACGCUGGCGGCAGGCCUAACACAUGCAAGUCGAGCGCCCAGCAAUGGGAGCGGCGGACGGGUGAGUAACGCGUGGGAAUUUUUCCUGGAGUACGGAACAACCGAGGGAAACUUCGGCUAAUACCGUAUGAUGCCGAGAGGCCAAAGAUUUAUCGCUCUGGGGUGAGCCCGCGUCAGAUUAGGUAGUUGGUGGGGUAAAGGCCUACCAAGCCUGCGAUCUGUAGCUGGUCNGAGAGGACGAUCAGCCACACUGGGACUGAGACACGGCCCAGACUCCUACGGGAGGCAGCAGUGGGGAAGUCUUGCGCAAUGGGCGAAAGCCUGACGCAGCCAUGCCGCGUGAGUGAAGAAGGUCUUAGGAUUGUAAAGCUCUUUCGCUCGUGACGAUGAUGACGGUAACGAGAGAAGAA
rnacentral:rRNA from 1 species